GUCCAGACUCCUACGGGAGGCAGCAGUGGGGAAUAUUGCACAAUGGGGGAAACCCUGAUGCAGCGACGCCGCGUGAGCGAUGAAGUAUUUCGGUAUGUAAAGCUCUCUCAGCAGGGAAGAAAAUGACGGUACCUGAUUAAGAAGCCCCGGCUAACUACGUGCCAGCAGCCGCGGUAAUACGUAGGGGGCAAGCGUUAUCCGGAUUUACUGGGUGUAAAGGGAGCGUAGACGGCGGUGCAAGCCAGAUGUGAAAGCCCGGGGCCCAACCCCGGGACUGCUCUUGGAACUGCGCGGCUGGAGUGCAGGAGGGGCAGGCGGAAUUCCUGGUGUAGCGGUGAAAUGCGUAGAUAUCAGGAGGAACACCGGUGGCGAAGGCGGCCUGCUGGACUGCGACUGACGUUGAGGCCCGAAAGCGUGGGGAGCAAACAGGAUUAGAUACCCUUGUAC
rnacentral:rRNA from 1 species